UCACCAUUUGCGCAAGUUUUUAUUUAUAUAGCUACGCACUAGCCCGUGAUAAUACCAGUAUGAAUGAUACACCAACAA
rnacentral:antisense_RNA from 1 species